rnacentral:rRNA from 1 species
UUUGGUGGCGAUAGCGGAAGGGUUCCACGCGUACGACCGUUAAGCCUUCCAGCGCGAUGGUACUUGGACUGAAGGGUCCUGAAGAGUAGGACGUCGCCAAGC